UGGGGAAUAUUGGACAAUGGGCGCAAGCCUGAUCCAGCCAUGCCGCGUGAGUGAUGAAGGCCUUCGGGUUGUAAAGCUCUUUCAGGUGGGACGAUGAUGACGGUACCACCAGAAGAAGCCCCGGCUAACUUCGUGCCAGCAGCCGCGGUAAUACGAAGGGGGCGAGCGUUGUUCGGAUUUACUGGGCGUAAAGCGCGCGUAGGCGGUCCUGCCAGUCGGGGGUGAAAGCCCAGGGCUCAACCCUGGAACGGCCUUCGAUACUGCGGGACUUGAGUUCGGGAGAGGGGCAUGGAAUUCCCAGUGUAGAGGUGAAAUUCGUAGAUAUUGGGAAGAACACCAGUGGCGAAGGCGGUGCCCUGGCCCGAGACUGACGCUGAGGUGCGAAAGCGUGGGGAGCAAACAGGAUUAGAUACCCCCGUAGUCC
rnacentral:rRNA from 1 species